AGGGAAAAGGAGCAAUCCGCUUUGAGAUGGCCUCGCGUCCGAUUAGCUAGUUGGUGAGGUAAUGGCCCACCAAGGCGACGAUCGGUAGCCGGACUGAGAGGUUGAACGGCCACAUUGGGACUGAGACACGGCCCAGACUCCUACGGGAGGCAGCAGUGGGGAAUAUUGCACAAUGGGGGAAACCCUGAUGCAGCGACGCCGCGUGGAGGAAGAAGGUCUUCGGAUUGUAAACUCCUGUUGUUGAGGAAGAUAAUGACGGUACUCAACAAGGAAGUGACGGCUAACUACGUGCCAGCAGCCGCGGUAAAACGUAGGUCACAAGCGUUGUCCGGAAUUACUGGGUGUAAAGGGAGCGCAGGCGGGAAGACAAGUUGGAAGUGAAAUCUAUGGGCUCAACCCAUAAACUGCUUUCAAAACUGUUUUUCUUGAGUAGUGCAGAGGUAGGCGGAAUUCCCGGUGUAGCGGUGGAAUGCGUAGAUAUCGGGAGGAACACCAG
rnacentral:rRNA from 1 species